rnacentral:rRNA from 1 species
GCCAGACUCCUACGGGAGGCAGCAGUGGGGAAUAUUGCACAAUGGGGGGAACCCUGAUGCAGCGACGCCGCGUGGGUGAAGGAGCACCUCGGUGCGUAAAGCCCUAUCGGCAGGGAAGAAAAGCGAACAGGUUCGCCUGGACGGUACCUGACUAAGAAGCCCCGGCUAACUACGUGCCAGCAGCCGCGGUAAUACGUAGGGGGCAAGCGUUAUCCGGAUUUACUGGGUGUAAAGGGAGCGUAGACGGCAGAGCAAGUCUGAAGUGAAAGCCCGCGGCCCAACUGCGGGACUGCUUUGGAAACUGCCCGGCUAGAGUGCUGGAGAGGUAAGCGGAAUUCCUAGUGUAGCGGUGAAAUGCGUAGAUAUUAGGAGGAACACCAGUGGCGAAGGCGGCUUACUGGACAGUAACUGACGUUGAGGCUCGAAAGCGUGGGGAGCAAACAGGAUUAGAUACCCGAGUACGC